rnacentral:lncRNA from 1 species
GAAGACAAAGAGCACAAGGUGGUGAUGGCUUCGAGGAUGGAAGAUGAGGCAGGGGGAUGACACAGAACAUCCACUGUCCUAAAACAAGUAGCUUCCUUAUUUAUCAUUUGCUGGAGAAGACUGUACACGUGGGGAAGGCAGACUCCACGUCUUGUAAAUUCCUGAGUACCCAGACUGAGCAUCGAUGCAGCAAAUACAAAGUAUAGACAACUGGAACAACACUGGGCAGAUACAGAGCUCUUUCCUCCUGGGUCCAACAUGCCAUCCAGACCGAGGAAGACCUAGAAACUUCAGGGUCCUUGCAAGCCAAGUUCAGGGCCACGAGAAGCACACGGGAGGUUGGGGCCGUGGUGCAGUACACACCACCCGAGGGUCUGCUCCAUUAGUAUCACCUAGGUUACUUCAAGGAACCCGGUGUGUGGUAUUAUGCUAAAGCGGAAACUUGAGCUAUUGCUCAGACGUCAGCCUUGCUAGGUUAGGGAGGUAAGUCUGUCAGUACACACAGAUCAAUGCUGCCGAAAAUAAGACCGGAGCUGCUCCUGUCACCGAUGUGUUGCAAUCGUUCUGGGGAGAGGAAAGUUCUCACAGCAGCAUGUUACGGUGAAAGCCAAAUUCGUCAGCAGUCUGAAGAGGCUAAGGUUUGGGGUGGGCGAGGCUGUGUCCUGGUGGAUUGAAGCUAUAGCCCCGAUUCAUUAAAUAAUAAAUACAUUAAAUAAUAAAUACAUUAAAUAAUAAAUAAUAAAUACAUUACAUAAUAAAUUCAUUAAAUGCUAACAAGUGGUUUUCCUUAGGCGUUGAGUGGAAGCGUUUUGGGGGGUCAUAACUACAUCCUCUCUGUACACUGAGAACCAACCUAAGAGAUUCUCGGAGCUGAAGUAAGAGGGACCUGAGUGCUUCUACUGAUUACCUUCACAAAGUGUACAGUAGCGGUAACAUCAACAGAGACACCGGCCAGUUCAAGCUUAUCACUAAUCAAGUGGAAACGGUACCUGUUGAUAACGGAAAUACA